GACAGAGGGUGCAAACGUUGUUCGGAAUUACUGGGCGUAAAGCGCGUGUAGGCAGCCGUGCAAGUCGGGUGUGAAAGCCCUGGGCUCAACCUAGGAAGUGCACUCGAAACUGCAAGGCUGGAGUCCUGGAGAGGAAAGCGGAAUUCUCGGUGUAGAGGUGAAAUUCGUAGAUAUCGAGAGGAACACCGGUGGCGAAGGCGGCUUUCUGGACAGUGACUGACGCUGAGACGCGAAAGCGUGGGGAGCAAACAGG
rnacentral:rRNA from 1 species